rnacentral:rRNA from 1 species
CGUGCUUAACACAUGCAAGUCGAACGAUGAAGCCGGAGCUUGCUCUGGUGAAUUAGUGGCGAACGGGUGAGUAACACGUGGGAACGUGCCCUUCAGUUCGGGAUAACCCAGGGAAACUUGGGCUAAUACCGGAUACGUGCGAGAGCAGAAAGAUUUAUCGCUGAAGGAUCGGCCCGCGUCUGAUUAGCUAGUUGGUGGGGUAAUGGCCCACCAAGGCGACGAUCAGUAGCUGGUCUGAGAGGAUGUUCAGCCACAUUGGGACUGAGACAUGGCCCAAACUCCUACGGGAGGCAGCAGUGGGGAAUAUUGGACAAUGGGCGCAAGCCUGAUCCAGCCAUGCCGCGUGAGUGAUGAAGGCCUUAGGGUUGUAAAGCUCUUUCGUCCGGGACGAUAAUGACGGUACCGGAAGAAGAAGCCCCGGCUAACUUCGUGCCAGCCGCCGCAGUAA